rnacentral:rRNA from 1 species
GACGAACGCUGGCGGCAUGCUUAACACAUGCAAGUCGAACGGGACGGCCCUGCCUAUGUGGGCUGGUCGAGUGGAGACCGGGUGAGUUACACGUGGGUAAGCUGCCCCUGACUUUGGGAUCACUUAAGGCCACUGGGGCUAAUCCCAGCUAGGAGCUCUCGCCGCAGGGUGGGGGUUGGAAAGUUUAGGCGGUUGGGGAGGGACUCGCCGCCUAUCAGCUUGAUGGUGGGGUAGUGGGAUACCAUGGCCUUGACGGGUAGCCGGGCUGGGAGGGUGACAGGCCACACUGGGAUUGGGAUGCGGCCCAGACUCCUACGGGACGCAGCGGAGGGGAAGAUUAUACUAGGGGCGGAGGCCAAAUGCAGCAACGCCGCGUGGGGGAUGACGGCCUUCGGGUUGUAAACCACUUUUGCCUGUGCCGAGGCGUGAGUGACGGUAACGGGUAAAUAAGCACCGGCUAACUACGUG